AUGAACGCUGGCGGCGUGCCUAAUACAUGCAAGUCGAGCGAACGGACGAGAAGCUUGCUUCUCUGAUGUUAGCGGCGGACGGGUGAGUAACACGUGGAUAACCUACCUAUAAGACUGGGAUAACUUCGGGAACCCGGAGCUAAUACCGGAUAAUAUUUUGAACCGCAUGGUUCAAAAGUGAAAGACGGUCUGGCUGUCACUUAUGGAUGGAUCCGCGCUGCAUUAGCUAGUUGGUAAGGUAACGGCUUACCAAGGCAACGAUGCAUAGCCGACCUGAGAGGGUGAUCGGCCACACUGGAACUGAGACACGGUCCAGACUCCUACGGGAGGCAGCAGUAGGGAAUCUUCCGCAAUGGGCGAAAGCCUGACGGAGCAACGCCGCGUGAGUGAUGAAGGUCUUCGGAUCGUAAAACUCUGUUAUUAGGGAAGAACAUAUGUGUAAGUAACUGUGCACAUCUUGACGGUACCUAAUCAGAAAGCCACGGCUAACUACGUG
rnacentral:rRNA from 1 species